UAAUACAGAGGUCCCAAGCGUUGUUCGGAUUCACUGGGCGUAAAGGGUGCGUAGGUGGUUUGGUAAGUCCGGUGUGAAAUCUCCGAGCUCAACUCGGAAAAUGCAUUGGAUACUACCAGACUUGAGGGUCGGAGGGGAGACUGGAAUUCUCGGUGUAGCAGUGAAAUGCGUAGAUAUCGAGAGGAACACCAGUGGCGAAGGCGAGUCUCUGGACGACUCCUGACACUGAGGCACGAAAGCUAGGGGAGCAAACAGG
rnacentral:rRNA from 1 species